UACGUAGGGGGCAAGCGUUGUCCGGAUUUAUUGGGCGUAAAGAGCGUGUAGGCGGCCAGGUAGGUCGGUUGUGAAAACUGGAGGCUCAACCUUCAGAGGUCGACCGAAACCAUCUGGCUAGAGUCCGGGAGAGGAGAGUGGAAUUCCUGGUGUAGCGGUGAAAUGCGCAGAUAUCGGGAGGAACACCUAUGGCGAAGGCAGCUCGCCGGGACGUUACUGACGCUGAGACGCGAAAGCGUGGGGAGCAAACAGG
rnacentral:rRNA from 1 species